rnacentral:tRNA from 1 species
GGAGGCAGAGUUUGGUGGCAGAGUCUGUGCUUAGCAUGCACAAAGUCGUGGGUUCAAUCCCCAGUACCUCCA